rnacentral:rRNA from 1 species
GACGAACGCUGGCGGCGUGCUUAACACAUGCAAGUCGAACGAUGAAGCCGGAGCUUGCUCCGGUGGAUUAGUGGCGAACGGGUGAGUAACACGUGAGCAAUCUGCCCUUGACUCUGGGAUAACUGCGGGAAACUGUAGCUAAUACCGGAUACGACACCUUGGGGCAUCCCAGGGUGUGGAAAGAAUUUCGGUCAAGGAUGAGCUCGCGGCCUAUCAGCUAGUUGGUGAGGUAAUGGCUCACCAAGGCGACGACGGGUAGCCGGCCUGAGAGGGUGACCGGCCACACUGGAACUGAGACACGGUCCAGACUCCUACGGGAGGCAGCAGUGGGGAAUAUUGCACAAUGGGCGAAAGCCUGAUGCAGCAACGCCGCGUGAGGGAUGAAGGCCUUCGGGUUGUAAACCUCUUUCAGUAGGGACGAAGCGCAAGUGACGGUACCUAAAGAAGAAGCACCGGCUAACUACGUGCCAGCAGCCGCGGUAA